rnacentral:rRNA from 1 species
AUACGUAGGGGACGAGCGUUGUCCGGAAUUACUGGGCGUAAAGGGCGCGCAGGCGGAUAUUUAAGUCAGCUGUAAAAGGCAUGAGCUCAACUCAUGUAUGCGGUUGAAACUGGGUAUCUAGAGUGCUGGAGAGGUAGGCGGAAUUCCCGGUGUAGCGGUGAAAUGCGUAGAUAUGGUGAAGAACAACAGUGGCGAAGGCGGGUUACUGGCCAGAAACUGACGCUGAGGCGCGAGAGUGAGGGGAGCGAACGGGAUGAGAUACCCGGGUAGUCCUGGCCGUAAACGAUAAAUGCUAGGUGUGGGGGUCGAGAGGCAUCCGUGCCGGAGUUAACGCGAUAAGCAUACCGCCUGGGGAGUACGGUCGCAAGAUUGAAACUCAAAUGAAUUGACGGGG